GUCGGUCAACCCUGUUUCUCCAGUCUCGGGAAUAUUCGAUCCGCCGCCUGGAAGCCAGACGAGCCGCCUGCCUCGCCGUCCUUGCCCGGCCGCCCGGAGCCACCGGUAGACCGCCCUGUGAUCCUGACCGGCCUGAAGGCUGACACCCGCGACUUGCCACUGCCUGCCCCGCUUGGUGCCCGGCCGGCUGCUGUCCAAUCAGGUGCGCAGGGCGCACCACCGUGCCCUGCUGACCGGACUACCGGAGCUACCCACUUCCAGUCCGCUCCGCGGUCGCUUCCUCAGCCGCUGAUCCUCCGGUCCUCCCCAAUCCACAUCCCCUGCUCAGCUCAGAGAGUGUGCAAUGGAUUUAGAGUCCACCAAAUUACUAUUGCGAUUUCCAAGAGAAAGUACACAGUACUCAGCUGGUGUAAUUGAAUUUCUGGAGUUUGCAUAUAAAGAUUUGAGGUAAUAGCACCAGCAGUCCCAGAACUUGCACAGGAUGUGAUGAUCUGGUCCAAAACUUGCAAAAGACAACUAUUGAGUCCCACAACUUGCAGCCAAUGUGCAAAUCUAGUCCUAGCCAAUCGUAGCACGACAAGUGGAGCCUAGUCAGCACAGCCAGUCAGCGCAGCACACUUUGCAUUUACCCCCCUGGCCUAUUCACUAAUGAACCCGCACUACACCACCUGAGUUUAACUGCAUGGUAUAUUCCUGGAAUAUCCUCCUCAGCUCACUCACCUCUCUGCUUCUGUCGACGAGGCCCUGCUCCAGCUCGCCGCCGCCGUCCAGCUAGCCGCCGCCGUCCGUCCAGCUCGCCGCCAUGGUGUCUUGGAGUGAAGGAUCCAGCUCGUCGUCCGACGGCUACUCUGUCACAAGUGAGGCUCCUGCUGCUCUUUUCUGCUCUGAAUGGACAGGCCUGCUUCAGAUCUUGCAGCUAGAUGUGAGCACCAAUGUGUCUGUGAGAAGUUUGUGUCGUUUGAAUCAGUUGACAGUGGAAGGAGGUAUCUUGCUUGUCCACAAAAGGAAAUACCAAAAUGCAACUAUGUGGAGUGGAUUGACCCUGAAUGGCCUGCCACUCUGAAGAUGAGUUUAGCCAGGGUUUGGGGCAUGUAUGAUGAUGAGAACAAGCUAAGGCUCAGGGAAAGUGUAGUUCUUGCUGAAGAAAAUUUUAGGGUUGUGAAAGAGAAAGAAAAGAUGGAAAAUGAUCUGAGGUUUUUUAAACUAGAUUUUGCUAAGAUGGUGGGUGACAAGGAGCAGGCAAUUACUGAAAUUGGGCAAUGCAAGACUUGCUCUUUCUGACCUAAAGGAAGAGCUUGAGAAGAAGAAGAUGUCUGAUAAAUCUACCACUAGCAUUCAUCAGGUUGUGAGGGCUAAGGCAGAGAAAGAGAGGGAUGAGAUGAAGCAACAGAUGGACAGCAUGAAGGAAGAGUUGGACAAAGUGGUGUUAUAGAGGGAUGAGCUGAAUAUGCAGUAAUAGCUUUCCUCAGCUCAACCACAUCAGCAAAGACCAUCCCUACUUUAAAUAUAGGGUUUUUGAUGUCCACCUUGGAACUGAAAGCUUUGAACUUGUACAUCAGUUGCUCUUCUUCUUCUCUUGAAAGAUUCAAAUCUUCAUCAUCAAGUUCAUAGUCAGGUUCCACCUCUUCCUCCUCUUGCUCAGCUUCUUCAUCAACAUCAAAGUCAAUGUUCUCUUCAUAAAGAUCAUCAUCUCCAUCAUCUAUGUCAUAAUCACUGUCAAUGAAAUCUGAAUCUGAAAGCACUACAUCUUCUGCAACAUCAGUUAGCAAAUGAUCUUCUUCAGCAAAAUCAGUCAGCAAGUGAUCUUCUUCAGCAAAAUCAGUCAAGUGAUCUUCUUCAGCAAAAUCAGUCAACAGUUGUUCUUCUACUGCAACAUCAAUCAGCAAGUGCUCUCCUUGUGCAACAUCAGUAAGCAAAAGCUCUUCUUCUGCAACAUUAGCCUGCAAGAUGUCUGCUUCUGUCUCAUGUGCUGCAAAGUCUGAAAUUGGAUCUUCAUCAUUGACUGAGAUGAUGCUGUGAGAACUGGCUGCAACAACAUUUGGGUUUACCACACUGACAGGAUUCUCAACUGAUCUCACUGUACAUAUCAAAUCUUGCCUGAAAUUGCUGAUGAAAUCUGAAUGAUCAACCAUGAUUGCAAGAACCUUAUGCUGAGCACUGGCAGUUAUCAUUUGCUUCACAUCCUCAUCACCUAUGAUUCUCAGCAUACCAUCUGAAACUGUUUUGUCAGGCAUGCACCAAUAAAUGAUGUGCUCAUUGACAGGAUAUCCCGACCAUAGCAGGUGCUCUUCAAUGACUGCAUAUGAGAAUGUACCUGCAUCAACAUAGUCAAGCACCUCCACUGAAGGAUUAUAGUACUCCAUGUUAUUUAUUGGUCCACAGAAUAGUCCACCAUGCUCCAGUUCUAAUGUGAAGAAAGGGGUGUCCACACUAAGUCCCAUUGCUGAAUCACAAACUACAACCACACAGUGCAUAAUGUAAGCACAAGCAUCAAAAAAGAUGACUGAAUAAAUACAUUUAACUGCAUCUUC